UACGUAGGGUGCAAGCGUUAUCCGGAAUUAUUGGGCGUAAAGAGCUCGUAGGCGGUUUGUCGCGUCUGCUGUGAAAACUGGAGGCUCAACCUCCAGCCUGCAGUGGGUACGGGCAAACUAGAGUGCGGUAGGGGAGAUUGGAAUUCCUGGUGUAGCGGUGGAAUGCGCAGAUAUCAGGAGGAACACCGGUGGCGAAGGCGGUUCUCUGGGCCUUACCUGACACUGAGGAGCGAAAGCGUGGGGAGCGAACAGG
rnacentral:rRNA from 1 species